UUUCAGGCAUGACCAAUUCUUGCUUGGAAUCAAGAUAGCUAGUUGUCCUCAUUAGUCCAGAUAAGACCUUCACACACAGUGAUACAGCCAAUGCAAUGAGGUUGGAGGAAAGGAAGUACUACAGUUUUGCAGAUUUAGAAUCUUUAACUUGGAAGUACAUUCUUCUUGAUCCAAGACGUAUGGUACCACCCAUAUGUGUUUCUGAACCCUGUGAACGUGAUACAUGAGUGUUGGGAUCAAACUCUGAACUGUUCGCACCUAGCAACCCAA
rnacentral:misc_RNA from 1 species